AGCGAACGCUGGCGGCAGGCCUAACACAUGCAAGUCGAACGAACCCUUCGGGGUUAGUGGCGGACGGGUGAGUAACACGUGGGAACGUGCCUUUAGGUUCGGAAUAACUCAGGGAAACUUGUGCUAAUACCGAAUGUGCCCUUCGGGGGAAAGAUUUAUCGCCUUUAGAGCGGCCCGCGUCUGAUUAGCUAGUUGGUGUGGUAAAGGCGCACCAAGCCUACGAUCCAUAGCUGGUCUGAGAGGAUGAUCAGCCACACUGGGACUGAGACACGGCCCAGACUCCUACGGGAGGCAGCAGUGGGGAAUCUUGCGCAAUGGGCGAAAGCCUGACGCAGCCAUGCCGCGUGAAUGAUGAAGGUCUUAGGAUUGUAAAAUUCUUUUACCAGGGACGAUAAUGACGGUACCUGGAGAAAAAGCCCCGGCUAACUUCGUGCCAGCCGCCGCGGUAAUAC
rnacentral:rRNA from 1 species